AAACCUGCCACGCUAAAUUUACGAUAAAUUUCGAAAUUUCGAGGCGAUUCUAAUUUUACGCAUCCGGCUGGGGACGAGACCGAUCCGUGUCCGUUUAAAUCCGUUUCACGUUUCCUAGUUCCACUCUGGUCUGGAGUAAAUGUCGCGGGUGUACAGUUUCGCGACAUUUUGCCCAAUAUCGGCCUCGAGACUGACGAGGAAAGAUGGUACGAACUUUCCAAAGAGGUGGUCAGACUUGGACCCACCGUUAGAUGCCUAAAGGGAUAUACCAAUACGACAAUUGGGCUCGCUACUGCUGACAUCGUGCGAGCUAUUCUCAACAACUCGCAGAGAGUUAUACCAGUUUCAACCUUGAUUCAGGGUCAUCACGAAGUUUGUCACGAAAUGUUCUUAUCUCUACCUUGUAGCGUCGGUGAACAGGGAAUCACGAAUAUCGUACGGAUGCGUAUCACAGAAUACGAAAAGAAACUAUUCCAGACAUCGGCUAAUGUUGUGUUCAAUGUUCAAAAGGGUAUUAAA